UACGAAGGGGGCUAGCGUUGCUCGGAAUCACUGGGCGUAAAGGGUGCGUAGGCGGGUCUUUAGGUCAGGGGUGAAAUCCUGGAGCUCAACUCCAGAACUGCCUUUGAUACUGAGGAUCUUGAGUUCGGGAGAGGUGAGUGGAACUGCGAGUGUAGAGGUGAAAUUCGUAGAUAUUCGCAAGAACACCAGUGGCAAAGGCGGCUCACUGGCCCGAUACUGACGCUGAGGCACGAAAGCGUGGGGAGCAAACAGG
rnacentral:rRNA from 1 species